rnacentral:lncRNA from 1 species
GCUGAAAUUGACAUGGUUGAUUUUGUAACACAUUCAUACACAUUCAAGUUUUGAAAUCGACAAUUGCCAUCGUCUUUGGAAUGCAACUGGAAUACACAUUCUGAGGUCACACAGGUUCAAACAAUACUCAGUCCAGAGUGGGCGGAGCUUUAAAGCGAUAUCUGUAUAGUAUACAGAUACAGCAUAGCGAUAUCUGUAGGGCUGUAUCUGUAUAGUAGGACACCCG